GUCCGAUCGAUGUCUCUCUCGCUAUCCGCUGAAAUAGGCUUUGACUCUCCAUGCAUUUACGCCGUAGCCCCUCCAUCAGCACAGAAUGAAAUCUUCCACUAGACUCCAACUCCACCUUCAACAUGACUCCAUGUAGCUGGCCAUGCUACCCCACGCCCUGUCGACUUCAAGCUCUCAUAUGUACACAACCUUGAAUCACCCCCGUGCCAUAGCCCGUCGAAGCCACACAAGCCCUCAUGCAUGCACCAUGUGUUUCCACGCCCCAGAAGUUGGCCACCAUCAGCAUCACGCUCCUAUGUCGUCGUUGCUGAAAUCACCGCCAUCUUCUACUUGGACCGGCAUCCCCGUCGAUCCGUUAGACUUUCCAGUCCGACCCAGCCAAAACCAUGCUCCACCCUACGUCUUGUCCGCCCCUUCAUGCAUUGCUUGAUGCCAUGUGUAUGCAUGAUCCCUCAUGAUGCGCUCCUGUAACCCUAUUCGCACAUCAUCAGUCUUGUUUCCCCUUUAUCUGCCAUGUCAAACCACACCACCUGCAACCAUCAUGUCUUUUUUCCCAACGUACCAUGCAAAGAACACCGGAAGGAGUCUCCUUUUUUCAGUCUUUUUGUACAUGCAUGUAGCAGCGAGCUCAAGCUCACCUUCAUGCAUGCAGCACACGAGACUUCCUUUGACCAUUUUCUUGUCCUCUACUUUUCCACGCUAUAGAUCAAUCCGAUGGUAACCAGAACUCCAUGUUCUAACACGUAGCAGCUCUCUUGAGAAACGAAACCUCUUUUUUUCUUAACAAGUUAUGACGAUAUGCUUUAAAUCUGGCUUUCUCAUGCUAUCCUGGUUCAACAUUGCAGCGCCCCAGUCUUGCCUGCACACGCGUGUACCUGAGCCGCAUCAGGCCUUCCCCUUGCACUCGUCGCACCAGCUGCCUGCUGCCUUCAACCUCCAGGGCCUUGCCACCCACCUGGGCUGCACCAGGUCACCACGCGUCGCCUUUGACCACACGCACCAGACGUCCGCGCGUGCUGCACCCCGUGAUUCGUCAGAUCGAUCUCCAGCCGUCGUGCGCUACGUCACGUCAUCAGUGGACAAGAUCCAAUCUCGAUCGUUCUCGCCGAGUCCUCUGGAAAACGCAGCCGUCGCUUCGGAUUGAUCUGCUACUCGCACCGCAGUCUGCGAUCGCUUUGAUUUUUGAUGCCGAUGCACACAACGCACAACAUGUCUUCGUCCGGACCAGCCCCGUGAUCAACAAUGAACUUUCUACCCCAUCCGAUCUUUUGCUUCCGCCACUGACGGUGUCGACCGCACAUAGAGCUCCAUCCAUCCUUUAGAUCAACAAACCAUGCUACUUCGAACCUUUCUCAUGAUCCACUUGUUAGAAUAAUCGGAGACACUCCAUUGAGGACCAAGCCAUCACACGAGCAUGGCACCGAGAUUUGUUAACGAGGUUCUCCUCCCCGUUACGGGCGCUCCUCCCCGUAACAUCGUCACAAUACCGCACCCUGGUCGUCCGGACGCCAGUACAAGCCGCCGGCUCCCGUGCGUACCUGUGCUAUUAUGUUGGCAUAUGUUACAUCGUGUGUCUACCAUCUCAUUAUAUAAGAGGCAUAAGGGUACAUAUGUCCUAAUAGGACAUGACUCCUAUCUUGUCUACACACCGUACUACUCCAAGUCCAACUGUAACCUACCUUGUAUAAUAAUAUUCGACACAACUCUAACACCCUAGGUGAGCACAGCCAGCAUAUCCUAAUAACUUUCUGAUCCCUCCUACUCCUACCGCACAGUGGACGACAUUGACUACACAUUUUUGUUGAUUACUUAGAGCAGAUAAAGAUUGGAUUACAUCGAUCAAGAUAUGUGUUUUGGGUUUUGGGAUAGUAUAGGAUUGUGUUUGUGAGGGUCCGAGAGAUGAGUGAAGAGUGGAGAACCAGCUGGGAAAGGGAUGCUCUUUAAAGAUAUACUAAUGGUAACAGAAAGGAAGAAAAGUCACUUGAAUCACUAGUAGAAAUAAGGGUUUUUGUCCUAGCUCCAAAAACACAUUAGUCCCGGUUUCAUUACGAACCGGGACUAAUGUUAGCAUUAGUCCCGAUCCGAGCGGCAAAGACGCCGUUCGGGCAUUAGUCUCGGUUCAAAUGGGUGUCUCGAACCGGGACUAAAGGGUUUGGAGGCUUUAGUCCCGGUUCGUUUCUUGAACCGGGACUAAACGGUAGACCUUUAGUCCUGGUUCGUGACACGAACCGGGACUUAAGGGGUUCAGAUUUAAUUUUUUCUGUUUUUAAAUUUUUGUUUCUAGUUUCUGUUUUAAAUUGCUUAUAUCUUUUAGGAUAUUUGAUGUUUUUAUUGAUUCUUUUUUGCAUUAGAUUCAAAAUUUUGUCUAGUUUCUGUUUGUGCCAUUAGUUUUCAAAUUUGAAUGGUUUAGAUUUGAAUUUGUUCAAAUUUGCUUCAAACCCAGUUUUUGAAUAACUUGAGUUUACAAAUAGUUUUUAAUUUAAUUCUUUUUGCUCCCACUCAUGUGUUAGAUUAUUGUCACAGUAAGAUUUAUUUGAUUAUUUUUACAAUAAUUUAAAUUAGGAUUUUAAUUAAAACAAUAUUGUUUUGCUUAUAUAGUUGUUUUAGUUAUUUAGUUGUUGUUUUUUAUUAUUUUUAGUUAGUUCUUUCUGUAGACUUUAACAUGUUAUAGUAUGGUGCAUAUUGAAUGCACAAAAAGUCUAGAGUUGAAAUAAUUUUAAAAAAAAUGCCUUUGUAGCAGAUGGAUUUUCGUGUGAAACCUUAAUACUUCGAAGGAGAUGAUCUAGUUUGUACACGAAGUGUAUCCAGUUUUUGUCGUAACCCACUCAACUUUGUAGCACAUGGUAUGUGGGUGAAAUGAUGAUACCAUAACAAGUUUCAGCCAUUUCAGAGUUCAUUUGUAGCGUUUUCCAAUUUCAGGGUUAUUUAGCUCAAAAAAAAUAAGUAAAUGCAUGAAAAAUACGAAAUGGAGUCUGAAAAUGUUGAAAAUUUAUGAUGUGGCUUUGAAUGGGGCAUUUUGAACACACAAAAGUAUGGAGUUCAAAUAAGUUUAAAAAAAUAAAAUCCCUUUGCAAGAGAUGAGUUUUCGUUCGAAACCGUGAUACUUCGAAGCAGAUCGUUCAGUUUGUACACGAACUGUAUCCAAUUUUAGCCGUAACCCUCUCAACUUUUUAGCACAAACUAUGUGGGUGAAAUAAUGAUUCCACGCCAAGUUUCAACAUUUUCAGAGUUCAUUAUAGUGCUUUCAAAUUGCAGGGGCAUUUAGCUCAAAAAAAUCAUUAAAUGCAUGAAAACUAGCAAAUAAAGUUGGAAAGGAUUAACUCUGGCUUGGUUAACCUUAGACGAGAACUCUGUCGGGGACGGUGCUAGCAGGUGUAGUCGACCGUUAUGAUUGGACUCUUGGCUAAAGGGGGAUUCUAAAAUUUUCAAACUCCCCCCCCCCCCCGGCCCACGUGGACCAUCUUUUUUUUUGUAGAAAAUAAACAAAAAUGAUAAAAUCUUCAAAACAUAAAAUCCUUUGAGAUGUAGUUAGGUUUUAGUAUCUAGUUGGUACAGAAAUUUGGAGAUAUGAAUUUUGACCGUUUUUGCAAAAAAAGGAAAAAAAAUGUAAAACGGCCAUAACUUUUGCAUACGAUGUCCAAAAAAAAUGUUUAAUAUAUCAUAACAAAACUAGAGAAAAAUCCGGACUCGAUUUCAUCCGGGAUUGCCCGGUGAAGUUUUCUCAGAUGCUGAAAAUUCCAAAUGUAAAAAAGUUAUUUCAAAAAGAAGGUUUUUUCCAAAAAAAAUAAGAAAAAAUAAUUUUAUUUAAAAAUAUUAGGUUGUUUUCAUUGAAAUUCACUAUUAUUGUUAUUUAUAAGGUUUAUUUUAAUAAUUGUUUGUAAUUCAAAAAAUUAAAUCACGUGACAUGACAUCAAGACCCAGGUUGUUUAGGAUUAAUAGCUUACUAUUGCCAUAUAACCAGAAAGUUAAGCAUGUUCGGGCUAAAGCAGUGAGAGGAUGGGUGACCGUCCAGCAAGUUAGACGAUUUUGAAUGAGUGAUCCACGCUAGAGCAGUGAGGAUGGUUGAUUAGAGAUUAAAUUAUCAAAUAAUUCAAAGAUUUAAAAAUUGGAAUAAAACAGAAAAACAAAUCAAAAAAUAUUUAUAAAUAAAAUUUGAUUUUUUUUCUUUUCGGGUCAAACAAACAAAAUAAACAGACGGAUCUUUUAGUACAUGAAGAGCCAUUAGCCCCGGUUCUAGGCUAAAGGUCCUUUUUCUACUAGUGAAUACAUCUGAUCAACCCCGAAGAUGUGCAAGCCGCCAUACAUUCUAUAAAGUGAGUAGAAUCAACACACCGUCCCGGAGCAUGUCACUAGUUAAGAUGCUAGUUAUUUACAGUAGAGUUAGGCCUUGGUCAAAACAAAAAAUAUGUUCAAACACCACCGCGUCUUCAUGACCAAGAAAAUGAGCUAGACCGAAAAUAACAAUCAUAGAACGAGUUUAGGCGCAGUUUGACACGUCAUGGAUGUGUGUUGUUUGUUGCGUAUCACGCAUGAAAAUGGAUUCAAUGUCUUCAUUGCUAACAUGCAUAUUAAAACAAAUUAUUUUGGGAUCCCGCUCAUAGGGACGUCGCAGGAUAUGGUAGCCCGUGCAGGAGAGAUGGGUUCUUCGAACAGAUCUGGAUGAAAGCUUGCUUUCGGCUACUGCCAAGGCCGGCGAUGGCGACGCUGUCUACGUCGUUCCCUUCCUGAAGGCAUCGUCAAGGAAAAGUUCAAGACCACUCUCUACUACCUUGGGGGAAACACUAGAUCAGUAGAUCGGAUGACGGCAACGCUCUGGUGUCGUUUUCCGCUUGGGGGCGUCAUUCAUGCAGGUACACACGGGCUCGAGGGGCCAUUGGUCGGCAUCUACGGUGGAGCGGCGUUCCCUGUAACACAUCGACAUCGUAGAGUCUCGGCGGCGAGGCGCAGCAAAGUCUCGACGACGGAUGCGUGAUGAUGAGCGCGCGUAGGGAGGAGGCACUGUCUGGCGCCAUGGGGGCAUCGACGGCACGCCUUGCAAGGUCGAUGCGUCAGUAACUGUUCUGAGGAUGGAUUGAUAUAGAAGGUGGCGGCGGCGACGACAUAUGAGGGUGCGUCGGACCGGUUUGUGCCCCUGACCCGGUAUCGGCUCGAUCGGGGCCUCCGGCUUUAGAUGUUAGGCUAGGUGAGAGGUCUGGGUAUGUGGCUCACACUUUCUGUACCCCUUCAUCAUUGGAUAGGAGUAGGGACAGAUGUUGCCAACAGGACCGCUUCAGACAUAUUAUUUUAUUGCUUUGUAAGAUCUUUGUGAAUAAUUAAUAAAGUGGCUCCAUGCAUCUUGUAGAUGCAGAGGCCGGAGGUCAUUCUUCUUUUCUAAAAAAGCAAAUUGUCUGCUCGAAAGGACAAACCCUAGCUAUAUAUGUGCGUUAUUAGUUCCAUGCCAUGCACAAUUUCACGAGCUCCUCCAUGGAUUUACCAUUCUAGCGAAGGAAGAUAAAUCGAGGAGACUAGAGCACCACACCUUUAUUUUCAGAUGUGAUAAUCACAGGCAAACAUGCAACACUGUACAAAUAAGGCAACUGCCCCUCGAGUCGAUGAAAUUUCUGACAUUCCUGUUUUGAGUUUCCAUGUAGAGUACUAUUUGACAGGUAGCCAGACAGAAGGAAACUAAAAUUUCGCUUAUUAUCGAAACGGGAAAUAAUUAAGAAACAAUCACUUCUUAAUUCCGCUGAAAUACAGUACAGUAUGUGCACCGGCAUCCACCUGCAUCACAAUCACCAACCGCGCCAGGGCCGACGUUGGUUUGACAGUUGUGAAGACACGUCUUGGGGUUACACGGCCCAAGGAUGACAGGGGUCUGAUGGCAGUCUUCAGGGAUUAGCGAGCCGCCGCCAUUAGCCGUCGCUUGGAUCACCACAUCUACAUGUUCGUACAAGCACAUAAAGAUUGCAGAGAGAAAAUGAUAGUGGAAGGUUCUCCACAAAAAAAUCAUCGCAGAACAUGCAGCAAACGUACGUACCUGAGGAGAGCAGCGUUACAAGGGCAAGCGCAAGUAGUAGCAUCUUGUAGAACGACCUCAUCCUGGCUUGAUGCUGGCAGGCUGAGAGAGAGAUAUUUUUUUCGCUGGGAGGUUAAGCCAAUCUUUGCAGAUAUGCCUGGCUGCCUGCUCUGUCAAUAGGGCCUUAGAUGGCUUUUAUAAUGGACAUAUAUGCAUGCAAACAAGUGUUUGAUUUCUUUACUUUUGUUCUAACGUUUAAUUACAGUAAAUCACGGGCGCUCUUUUGCUAUCCUAUAAAUGUGCAUGUUGUAAUACAGCUGUUUAUUUAAGGGGAAGACAGCUAUUGAAAUAUCUGCACAUAUAUUGCUUACAGCUCUUAUAUAUAGUAAAAAGGCAAGUCAAUAACACCCAAAAUACACAGCUCAUCUACUGAUGGCAUUAUUAAUUGUGCAUAUAAUCGUAAAUUGAUUGUCUUGAAGGACGAAACAAGAAUCGGUUUAUGGUAAACUUCAAGGCAAUCAAUGUAGGAAUAUAUUCAUCUUUUUUUGCGGGUGAAUAUAUUCACAAUCAAUAUAAAUCUUUACAGAAAUAUGCAUAUAUUGUUUACAUAUCAGUAAAAAUGUUAACAACAUUGGUAGAUGCAAAUUACUUUAUUUUGGAAAAAAAUGUAAAGCGGGUUGUUUUUGGCAAGGUAGUCAAAAUUCCGAUCGUAUCGUGAUUCUACAUUAUGAUGUAAAUCGAUUGGAUAUCCACAUUUUCACAAUCCUACUCGAUAUGAGCUAAGGAUUUGCAAUUUUACCAUAAAGGAUCCGAUCCCAAAUCGCGAUACUGGCUAUCUUGGUUUUGGUAAGCUUCUACUACCUUGUCAAUGAAUACAUAAUUUCUUCCCAAGAUCAAUUAAUUUAUGAGGAAGGAGUACCUAACAAGUCUGCAUGGUCAUGUGUGUGCGUGCUUCUAGAUAUAUCCGACGCGUGCAGCCUUUUAGGCCACUUAGGCACGUUUAGGAAUUCGUCCAAGUUUAGAUUAAAUAUUCAGGAAUCCGUCCAGCACCAGGAUGCAUUUUGGCAUAUUUAAAGAAAUUUUGCCCGCGUGGCGGUUUGGCUUGUUCUUGCUGUUCCUUUUCUUUUUUUACUACUAGUACAAAUGCCCGUGCGUUGCACCGGGCUAGAAAAAAGUGCAAAACUUAUUUGUUUUACCAUUAUGUGGCAUUAAUUUUAAUAAAUGUCAAUUAUAAUGUUAAAUGUAAGACAUCUAUUUUUGGACGGAAGGAGUUUCUUUUAAAGUUUUAAAAUAUAAUGUAAUGCUUACAUAAAAAUUGAAUUACUUUUUUAGUAAUAAUUAUCAAUUUUAUUGAGUGGUAAUAAUGGUUUGGCAAAUACAGUACUACCGAGCAAGGUAAAUUUUGAUCUUGUCAUCCUUCCAGGCUAACCAAAUUAGGCCGCAGCGGGCACCUAGUUCAGAAGACACCACAUCACAUAUUUCUUAGCUUGAAAUUGAUAGGCAACCCAACAUUAAACGAACCAGGAGCAGAAUCAGACACACACAGAGAGAAAUCUGAACCCGAACCUCGACCUCACUUCAGGUCUGAAGUGAGUGAGUGAGGUCUAAAGUGAGGGUUGAGCGCCACAGGUAAAUUCAGACCACAGGGUUCUUAGAUCUAAUCAAUUUCAAACGUUCUGUAAAAGCAGAAAACUGAACUAAUGGCCACGACAAAUGUCAGAAGUGGAGAAGCAACCCGACCCGAGGAGCAGAGAAGAGGAAAUGAUGCUUCAUGGUAACGAGGCACAUAACGUAAGCGUAGCAAAUAGUUUACCAUGAGAAGAGGAAGAGCAUGAGGGCGCAGGCACGGGAGCCCCCCGGCUUGAGCCCGCGUCCGCAGCAGAAGCACCGGCUGGCGAGCAUGACGACGACCUGCGCGGCGGUGAGGAGGAGGAGCGCGCCGACGCCGUAGCCGGUGGCGACGUCGGAGUCGUAGACGCAGUAGUCGUACUCCUUGGCCAGAUCCGGCGUCACCGUGGCCUGCACACCAUUUUGCGUCAACUGAUUAAUCAGCGGGGCCAGGGCGGUCGCGAGAUCAGGCGAGCGAGCGAGCUUCUGGGCGUGCAGGUGUAGGUGCAGGGCUUACCUUGCUGCGGUGCUGCUCGGCGGCGACGGCGAGGCCGAAGGCGAAGAGGUUGAGGAGCAGGGCGGAUACCUGCACGAUGAUGGACGCCAUUGCUCCCUCUCUUUGUCUCUUUGUUUCCUGGGUUGCUUGCUCUGCUGGGGAAAGUGAGGUGUGGAGGACGACGGGACCCAGGGCGAUGCGCGGCAAGCAGGGAAGUGUCGGCGCCCGGCACGGCUCCGGUGGCCGACAACGAGGCGGGCAGGACCGAUUGAGGAGGCGCGGAUGGGGUUCUCCGACCCAGACCCGGCGAGAUCCAGCUCGCGAUGGGGCCGACGGGGCUCCACGGGAGGCGAGCUCGGGGCGGUUGAUCUGCCGAAGGAAUUCGGCUGAUGGCGGCGCGGCAGGACGGCGAGCUCGGAAGCUCGGCUGGGCGCGAGAGGCGCGGGAUCCGACGACUCCCGGCGGCGGGGCUCCGGCUGGCGAGGGAGGUCGAGGAGCGAGGAAGGACGCCACGACCCAGACGAUGAAACGUUUUUUCCACUUAUUAUAGGACUGCGGGUUGAUUUCUAAGAAAAAGAGGGGUUGUUUUGCAAAAACGCCAGCGACGGACGACAUAAGCGCUCCGAAGGUGUGCAUGUGUGGUUAACGAUGUUUUCUUUCCUCUCAAUUUAGUUUUAAUUUAAUGGAUAUUUAUUGCAAUUCGUAUGGUCGCCAGAAAGAAAGAAAAAAAAAGACCAUGCACUACAGAUUAAGUUUGCACCAAAAAUAAUAUUUAAGAAGUAUUCAACACCUAAAAAUAACAUUCUAUUUAGAUUCUACACAUUUUUGCAAUGAAAUUUCAUAUAUAACAUGUUAAAAUCAGAGUUACGGUUUAAAAGAUAUGGAUAAUUUUGUUUUAGAUAAAAUAUGGAUUGAUUAACUGAGGUCGGCCGCGGCGGCGAGUGGUGUGGCAGCGGCCUGGGCAUAGGCUAGGGUGGACCAGGGUCGACGCGAUGCGCUCGAGCGCCGCAACGGGGGCAGUGAGCGGGGAGAGGUACGGCCGCGGAGGCGGGUGGGUUGACAUCGGCAGCGGUGGCGGUUGAGGUCGGCCACGGCGGCGAGUGGUGUGGCGGCGGCCUGGGCACAUGCCAGGGUGGACCAGGGUCGACGCGAUGCCGCAAUGGGGGCAGUGAGCGGGGAGAGGUACGGUCGCGGAGGCGGGUGGGUUGAGAUCGGCAGCGGUGGCGGUUGAGGUCGGCCGCGGUGGCGAGUGUUGCGGCGGCGGCCUGGGCACAGGCCAGGGUGGCCCAGGGUCGACGGGAGGAGGCGAUGCGUACGGGUAUAAUUUUUACAGCGAAUCGUUUUUUCUUUUGCGUUGAAGAUAAAUGAUGGAGCGCGGGUUGAAUAACAAAAGUUAUGGAAGCUUUUUUAUAAAAAUAUCGCGGUGGGUUUUUCGACGGAAGCAAUAGCCGCUUUAUUAUUAGGUAUAGAUUUUGCCCGCGCGGCGGUUUGGCUUGUUCUCGCGCAAACAAGCUGUGUUUUUCGCUUCGAGUAAUUCGUCUGGUCUGUCUUGUCAUAGUCGUACUCCAACCCCUGGGUGCAUUCCAGGACGCCUAAAUUGUUGUCCUUGACCGCAACCUUCGAAAACAGCUUAUAAGCUUUGAAACUAACUAUGUGCCGUGGCUAGCUCCAUCUUUCGCAUCUGCUGCAUCUUCUUGCUUGCUUGCUUCUCACACCGAAAGCUGCAAACAAGGUUUCCAGCUAGCAUACGGGGUGCAGCUAUAGUUCUCCCAAGUACGUAAUACACAUGCUAGCCUUAGCGGCAGCCAUGGGAGUCCAACUUGAUCUUGGACCACAACCCAAAUUACAUGUGCUGGGUUAUGGGUAGAGAUUGCUAUCUUUUGCAAUGAUGGUUGACUGCGCCCGAUAACAUCUGCAAGCAACCGGUUGAACUCGUGCCCCACAAUGGUCAGAGGGGCAACUGCCAUGCCAUACCAACUAUUGUCAUGGAGGGAUGCAGAAGCUUUGUGAUGGAACGCCAACACGGUCCAUAUAGAGGCAACUCGGGCUGCGGCGACGACCUUGCUACGGAUUGUGGUAGCCACCGAAAGAAGUUGGUGAGGGUUCUUAUCUCCAGAACCGGUAGUUGACUUCGUCUGUCAGAUUAAAACUAUGGUGACGGCCUGGUUGUGCAUCGGUUUUCUCACAUCAAUGUAGCUGUUCGGAUCACGGAAAAGUGAUGGUCAAAUCACGUAGGCGAUGUGAAUGGUGGUGCUACUUGAGCACUCAGUCUCGGGUUUUGGAGUGAAAGCUUUGGUCUCACCCAAUUGGGUAAUAAUUGACAAUGGUAAUGUCUUUAAACCAUUACCUUGUUGGAGGCAUUGCUCGGAGAUGCUUGAACUAGUUUUCAGGGUGAAAGCCUAGAUUCUAGCCUUGCGUCCUUGGAUCCGAUGACCUUGGCGCUUCAGCGUGGCUCCCUUUCUAAAGGCGUUGCUGUUGAAGAACCUCGGCAUCUAUGUCGUAUCAUGAGAUGUUGGCGUGGAUAUAGUCAUUGUUAUAGUUUGUCUGAACGUUUUGGAGGCUUUUCAUAUUAUUCCUCGCCUAACAUAGCUUUGGUCUUAUAUGACUUUGCUACUUGUUAACGUGUUUUGUGGGCAUGCGUUGAUGUUGGUUGUGUGUAUGAUAACUAUUCAAAAAUCGGUUGUGUGCUUUUUGUGUUUGUAUCCUCUUAAUAUUCCAUUUUAAAGCAAUAAAAUUGACCCUUUAUUGUUAAAAUGGACUAUCCCGAUGAAAACGAAUUGGUGGAGCUCACCGAGGUGACGAGUUGUUGGGUAGCAUGGUCAACGAGCUCACGGGUGGCAACAAGGUGCAAGACGCUCAUUGAAAUCGAUUUCAUGCCUCCGUUCAUGGACUCGAAGACAUGGCCGAUCUUUCUUUUUUUUUGCAAAAGGAGGUUAAACCUCCAGCCUCUACAUCAAUCGAUGCAUGCAGUCAUCUUUAUUAAUUAUUUCACAAAGGUUUAACAAAAGUAUACAUCAAUUCACCUAAAGUCAUCACUCACACCUACAAAUUCGAUAAUGUAGAGUGCUCUCACUCCACAUAUCUAAGACCGGUGUUGUCAUCAAUCCAUCCACAUAACGUAUCGGAAGCAAUAGCCGGUGCAGCAUACCUAAAACGCACACCUCACGCACACGUUUUACAAGCCGCCAUCAUCAUCGAACCACUGACCCAUCUUUAGGAAAGAGAUCCGCAUCAUCCAUGCCAGUCCAAACAUCCGUCGACGCCACCACGGCGCCCAACGGCGUCACCGCCCUGCGCUCAUCUGUCCAGAUGCGAAGACUCCGGGAGAUCUGUCGUGCGUAGCACNNNNNNNNNNNNNNNNNNNNNNNNNNNNNNNNNNNNNNNNNNNNNNNNNNNNNNNNNNNNNNNNNNNNNNNNNNNNNNNNNNNNNNNNNNNNNNNNNNNNNNNNNNNNNNNNNNNNNNNNNNNNNNNNNNNNNNNNNNNNNNNNNNNNNNNNNNNNNNNNNNNNNNNNNNNNNNNNNNNNNNNNNNNNNNNNNNNNNNNNNNNNNNNNNNNNNNNNNNNNNNNNNNNNNNNNNNNNNNNNNNNNNNNNNNNNNNNNNNNNNNNNNNNNNNNNNNNNNNNNNNNNNNNNNNNNNNNNNNNNNNNNNNNNNNNNNNNNNNNNAUCUGUCGUGCGUAGCACCUGCCAACCAGGCAUGACUCAGCGUAGCACCUGUCGGCCAGGCAUGACUUGACAGCUCCACCGAAAUUUCGUGCAAGACGAAGCCGCUCCACCUCCUGCCUCAGUCUGCCAGCGGUGCUACACAAACGAUGCUCCCAAGAGAGAAACAGCACCGCAGUACCGCCAUCGUCCGAUCUGGAGGCCAGAUCCUAGGGUUUCCCCCGAAGCAGUGCCCACCACCAGCAACCGUUCACGACCCACACAGUGCCUACCACCACUCAGCCCUCUAGGCGACGCCUUCAGGAAGGUCACGACAUCAAGGACGCCGCCGCCGCCCACCGGAGUUAGGGUUUUCACCCGAGAGGCAAGGAAGGGGAGCAGAGGAGCAGAUGUAUACCGACGUCUCCAAAAAGAAUAACGGCACCCUAAAGCAUCGGUGGCGGCGCGGCCGGCCUGGGCCAACCAAGCGGUUUCCCCCAAUCUGAAUCUCCUCCACCGGCUUCACCCGCAGGUAGGGCCCCGCCAACCACGCCGGCACCGCCAAGAAUCCGCAGGAGAGAGGCCCACAUCAGGGCCCGAGGACAUCGGCCAGAUCUGGCGCCGCCGGCCGCCAUAGCAGCCACGUGACGGCUGACCAGGCAGCGGUCAACGAAGGGGAGCAGCACACCUCCACAAUGACGCUUCCAAGAAAGAUAGCGGCACCCGCGGGCGUCGCCAUCGCGGCUCCGAUGAGGACCAGAGCAAGGAUUUCUCCUGGAGUUGCGCUGAACAUCCACCGCCACCGACCGCUGAGCAUGGCCGCCACGCACCACCACGACCCCCAGGCAGGGUCACCGCACCGCGCGCCCUGGCCACCGCAGUUGCGCCUCGCCGACGCUCCCUGCCACCGCAGCCGCGCCCGGCCGCCGCUUCCUACCACCAUGGUCGCGCGCCCCGCACAGAUCCGGCCAUGGCAGCCCCGGAUCCGCCCUCAGGCGCCGCCGGUGGGCGACAUCUUGCCGGAUCCCGCAGCCGCCGACGCGGGGCGGCCCGCCAGAGCCCGAGGGCCGNACGCGAGGGGCCCCGCCGCCGCCAUCCCCCCGGGGCGCGCGCGGCUUCGCCGGUGUCCCCUCCGGCAGCGGCGAAGCGGGGAGGGGGUGGAGAGAGGGGCCGGUGGCGGCGCAAGAGGGUUGGCCGGUGACGACGCGGGGAGGGGGCGGAGAUGGGGGCCGGUGGCGGCGCGAGACGACGCCCCCGAGUUGGAUCGCCGGCUUCUUUGAACGCUCUGGUGCCUUCCUGGACGCCAUCUGAUAGUGAGAAUGAAUUCUUCAGACAUGGCCGAUCUAAACAUGCCGGAAGAUCCGUCGAGGGAGGAAGCCAACUAGUACUUGUGGAUGCUUGUGCCAGGUACGACAAUACAUGCCUGCUUCCACACAUGACCACGAGGCUGCUCGACAAACUAGUUUUUUUAUAAGGGCAGUACUGGGCGUCGACAAACUAGUUUUUUCAUAAGGACAGUAUUGGGCGCCGGCGCACCGGCGCCCCAGCUUAGGCCGAUCAAUCCUGCAUCGUCCGAUUAGAGUUGUUGUAAUCAUUGGAUCUGCUCUACCCGUCUGGCAAAAAAUAAACAACCCCACACCGCGCAUGCAUAGGAGAAGUCAACGGCGAUAUCUGAGGCAGCCGCAGCUAGCCAACUUCCGUCAAUGGUGAACUCCGCACUUGCCGCUGCCGUCGCUCACAGCAUCGCUCGUCUACGGCCCUUGCAGCUUGCAGCAGACAAGCAACCACGGCGAGCUAUGAUCGCGCGCAACCCCGGCGAGCGGCAAUGGCCACCGGCCCCGGCGAACGGCGCCCAUCCCCGGCGAGGAUGCCAUUAACCCGGUCCCGCGCCCACAGCCACCUCUUUUCCGAGCUCCGGCGGACGGGCUGCAUAACUGCGACGGCGAGGCACACCCACGAUACAGGAUGCUGGAACUAACAUCGAUUUUUGAUGCAUGCUUCAACCGGCAUCAUAAUUUGCUACAACCGGCAUCGCUAUUUGCUGUAACUAGUGUUGCAUUUUGCUACAUCGCACAUGGCUUUGCGAUUUUUGCUACAACCGGCAAUGAAAAAGCUACAUUCGGUGACAUGAUUUGCUGCAACGGCCACGAUGAAGUUUUUGGUGGCAACGGUGGCGUUGUGAUUUUUGCUGCAACCUUGUCGGUCCUUCGUUGUAGCUUUUUUCAUCAACGGUUGUAACAUUUUAUGUCAACGGUUGAAACAUUCUGUCAUGACAAUGGCCGUUUGUAGCUUUUUAUAUGUCUGGUUACAGCUUUAUUCAUCAACGGUUGUAGCUUUUAUGUCAAUGGUUGCAGCAUCCCGCCAUGACAAUGACCGCUUGAAGCUUUUUAUAUGCCCGGAUGAAGCUUUUUCAUCUGGGUUUGAAGCUUUUUUUGACAGCGGUUGUAGCAUGAGCGUAAAAAAUGGUUUUCCAUCGCCGUCUAGCAGCAGCCCCAUGUCCACAAGCGCGUCCGCUUGCAGCACUAACUCGAGGGCCUCCUCAGGCGAUGCGACCCCACCGGCGAAACCAUGAGAAGCUUGGCUGGGGGACGAGAUGCUCGUAGAAGCACGGGGGAGAAGAAAGUUUCUCGCCGCAUCAGGUCGGCGUCCUCAACGACGGCGGCCGGUGGUCGCCCUCAACAGAUGAGAGAAGGUGAGGGGGAGGAGAAGGUCGCUCGGGGGAGAGAAGGGUGCUCGCGUGUGGCCAAAAACUCGCGCUAGGGGAUAAGGGUGUGACGGGAUGCGAGCCACUAGAUCUAAUCGCAUCAGACGUCGCGUGAUGGACCGGCCCGAGCGUUCGGCCGGACUGUCGUAUGUAAACGUUUUCCUUUUUAUAAAGGAGGAUUACCUGCACGUGAAAUGAUGCAUGUAGUCAUUUUAUUAACUUUUUACAAAGACCUUGCAAAAUAGUAUAUUAGGUAGUUUGAAGUCAUCAUUUUAAAACAAUUAUCAUUAGUCCUAUCCACUUGAUGAAAGGAUGCCGAUAGUCCGAACCUAAUACCAAACAGACAUCGCAUGAAUGCCUAACAUCUAACAUCGGAGGUCCUAACCGAGCCACAUACUGGGUUUGGGGUACAAACCGAUCUAAUGCACUCUCAUGUGUUGUCGUCGUCAUCUUCCACCAAUCCAUCUUUAAAGAAGAACCUAACGCACUGACCUUGCUAGGCCACUUUGCCAUCGAUACCACCAUGACGUCAGACAAUGUUCUCCUCCUACGCAAUUCCAUCUCCAUGCAUCGUACAUUGAGUUUCCACGGCGCCAUGCCACCGAGAUCCGGGGCCGGAUGGCUCGUUACCCGCAGCCACCGCCCGAGGCAGAGCCAACCGUCGUGCCUCCGCCGGUCAAGGCAGGGACGCCUGCCCCGGCGCCAAGGGGCUCCGCACGAUCCCCAUGAUACGGGAGAGAGGAAGGACACCGACAUAGCCGUCGGCUUCCGGGCUAUAGGCCGGUAGCGUCCUUCGGUGGUGGCGGGGUGAGGGAGGGAAGGAGGGAGAGCCCCUGACGGCUAGGGUGUCCUCCUGCCCGAGUCACCAUAGUUGAGGCGAUGCGAGGGGUGUGAGAUCCGAUCUAAACCCCACAUUCAUUAUCCAACCGGAGAUCAUGACCACACUGGCAAGUCCCACAAGGAUGAGUCCCGACCUGGGGUCAACGGAAGGUUUGAGCUGUUCAUCAACAAGCAUGAGGUGUGCAACGCCUAAACGAACAUAAACUACCCCGUCGUGCAGAGGCAGCGGUUUGAGGAGCAACUCAGGGAUUGUCAACAUGGUGACGAUGAAGCGAUGUCCAUGGUCGUAACGUUUUGCACUACCCUUUAGUACGGUCUGCCACUGACAAGGGCCCGCGGUCUGGGGAUUUAUCGCGUGAUUAUGUUGUCGAUGGAUGCACAGAACAUCAAGGAUGUCCUCAUGUUCCCGGCCAUGAAGCCUCCAGAUCAGUUGCCGUAUGGAAAGCAGAUAUCCUUUUUUCCGAUAAUGUAAGAAAAAUUUGGAGUGCUGAUUAUAUUUUCUUCAUCGUUAACUUAUAUACAUUGAGAAAUAACUAGUCUAAACCCUCACGGUCGCAGAGUGCUGCCCACCUUAGUUGAUGGAUUUAGGUGUAUCUUUUUGAAUUUUUAUCUGUUUGUUCUUAUUUCGUUACCUUGUCUGCACUCUGUUUCAAUUUUCAUGUUACUUUGUCUUCCAACAUCUGUUGGCAAGUGAAGUUCACAUACUACCAUUCGGUAAAAGAAUGAUCUCAUGUGUAAUGCCUUACUUUUGUACACCACUGUACAAUAUGGUUUUAUAUAUCUUUUUCUUUUGUCAUUUUGGUUUCAACCAAUAUUUAGUCACAUCAGCACCAUUUAUGCAAUAAUAUAUGCUCCCUCCGUAUCAAAAUAUAAGACGUUUAUUGACACUAUAUUUUGAUACAGAGGUAGCAGCUAAUAAAAGAUACUCUUUCUCAUCCAUAUUACUUAUUGCUUAAACGGAUGUAUCUAGCACUGAAAUACAUCUAGGUGCAUAUAUUUCAGCGAUAAGCAAUAUCCAUAUGAGGCGGUAUUUAUGUUUUUUGUUGCUUCCUGUAGUUUACAUGUGCUUGUUUUUUUUGUGGGGGACACGUGCUUGGUUUGUAUCCUAUUUAUACACAACAGUGUAUUAUUCCAGAGAUAAUUUUUGUUCAGGUACAAACAAGACAGCUUAGCGCAAAUUUAAGUGUAAUUGCAAAAUUGAUCGACUGAGUGUACCCAAAAAUGCAAGCAUGCACUACUGCUAAUGCCUUGCAAUGACGGACGCAAAAAACCUAGGAGUGGCGGGCAUGACUCCCAGGGGCACCCGCCACUGAUCUCCCGUCAACAUGGAAUCAGUGGCGGGUGCGCCCCUGCCACUAGUACAAUUCUUUAGUGGUGGGCAAGCUGUGGGCGACCACCAGUGAUAACUUUGGCAUGCAAAUAAUAUUUUUUGCACACACAGCCUCAUUUGAGCUGCGGUGGUUGCCUUUUGCGUAAAACCCAUAUCAUAAACUGCAAUAUGCGGCAAGAUUACAGUGACUGUGAAACAUAUUACGACAUUAAAGAAUACGUUAACCACUAGCUAAUUGUUAUCAACCAUGAUUAGGAAUGCACCAACUAGGUUGUAUCAUCUUAGCUAGGUAUCUACCCAUCACAUAGUAAUAAAUAUGAUCGACGAUACACACAUCCAACAUUUAGUAUUACCGAUCAUCACAAGUACUUGGGCCUAGUACUCUCUAUUAGGAAAAAUUGAAAAGAAUAGGAAAACCCAAACAUCCACCAGUCUCCAAUUUAGGGCCUGCACCCAUUCAAUAUUUGCAUCCAUCCUUGAAUUUUCAUGCGUCCAUUUGAUAGGCUUUCAGUCGAGUAUCUAUCUAUGAAAUUGGUCUUCUCAUAGCAAAUGGUUGCCAUCUCACCUUCCACAUCCGUUACCGCAUGCACAACAACUCUUAGGAGCUUCUUCUGAAGAACGUAAUAGUAAAAUAGUUAGCAAUGUUGUUAAUUUUAGUAAAAUGUAUGAAAAAGGACAAGUGACACGAUCGUAAAUAAUCUAACCAUGCAUUUUCGACAAAUUUUAAUGCCGCUCAACUUGUAGACUAGUGGCACGUAUCGUGUAGUAUUUGGGUAAGCUCCAUUGGUGCCCUUAAAAGACUGGACAUCACUAUUAGAGGAGACAAGAUAACUACCAGCAGACGAGGGAGAAACUUCAAAUCCCAAAUUUCAUCUGCUUCACUAGGAUGAUAGAUGACUGAAGGUUCCUUCCUAGACAUCCCAAAAUUCCAACAACCGCCAUCAUAUCUUGGUAACUUUUCGAUGCCUCCUACUCCUAGCAUCGUGUGGCCAAGAAUAAAGUAUAUAAGAUAUAUAUGCUACCAACAAUGUUGACUCGAUCGACUGCUCUACCAAAGCUUUAGAGCUGCUCUAGAAUUCACCGCAUUGCGGUGUAUAUUAUGGGUUCUGGGAUAGUGUGUUAGUGAGUGCGUGUGUGAGGGCUGGGGAGGUUGGUGAAGAACGGAGAAGCAGCCAUGCAAAAAUAUGUAUAAUAACGUCAGUACAUAUUAAUGUUGACCGAACACACCCAUGUUACAAAGUGACUACCAUAAAUAUGUAGACUGCCCGGACUUCGUCAUUACUUACGUGUCAGUUAUUUCCGGUACAUUUACUCAUUACUUGGGUGUAGCCACUACUUUCCCCACGAUCAAACCAAAAAUAUGUAUGUGCAACCACCACAUGUCCAUCAAAAGUGUAUUAGUAAACUUAUACACUAGAUAUACAUCCAUAUAUAAACAAGAGAAGAUUUAUUUUGUAAGAAUGCAAAAAAUGCCCAUUGAUGUGCCACCAGUCCGAACGGCUCCAAACCCUAAGAUACAACUUGCUGGGCCCAAACCACUAGUGAGCUGGGUCGCUGUAUAGUGUGAUGGGUUUUUUGAUAUGGAGUCAGGUUAGGCAGCUUCAUGAAUCAUUCUGAGAGACUCGGAUGGUGCAUUCUGGUGUAAUUGCUGCACUGACGGAUAACUUGUUGUAUGAAUAUAAUGCAGAUUGUGUUGCGCACGAUUCGAUGGGUUAUGUGAAGAUUAAUCGCACAAAGAAUAUUAGUCCUAAGUUAUUCUAUGCACAUAAGCUGCAGAAGAUGAACGAGGUGAGAAUCUUGCAUAAUAGGUCAUGUGACAAUAUUGCUGAUUUAUUAACUAAAUCAUUACGGACGACAUCCUUCUAGAGAUGUGUGCCCGUAGUCGGUAUGAUGAGACUUAAGGACAUGCAAGGUUUGGGGGAACCAAUUUCAAAAAAUCAUAAAAAAUCUCGGUCACGAUGGCGGAGAACUGAACUUGACGAUUGAAUGAAUUGUACUCUUUUUCCUUGAGUGAGUUUUUGUCAUGUUUCUCACAUGUGGUUUUUGAUGAUGUAGUUCGUGCUAUACAACGACAUAUAUUGUACGAUCUUUCUUCAUAUUUUUUUCACUGGAUUUUUCUACCUUUUAAACGAAUGUUUCCCCACGUUAAGAAGGUACAUGUCCCCUACAUCUAGCUAUAUAAAGAGGAGAGCACCUAUUGUAUGUAUGGUUGAUCAAUGAAUAAUAAAUAAAGACUCCCUUCUAAGUCUUUAUGACCAUUUACUUCAUGUAUCUCUGUGUGGUCGAAUAUGACGCUCGCUCCCCUUCCGCAACCUUCGUUGGACUCACCAACAGAAGUUGCGGAACAAUUUAUAUCUCUUGCAAGCAGAACAAUUAGCAAACCUUGUUGACCCGUGUCAGCACGAGGUCAGCAAUUUUUACUACCACGUGAACAGGAGCAUGAGGGUAACACACGAUGCGGACAAGAAAUAAUCCAUCACAAUGGCUGGGCAGAAAUCCGCGUCAAUACUUGGUGAAUGCCCAGCGUGGCUCGGUGGCAGCCGAAGAUGAACAGCGAAACGUUUAAUUGGGAGGACUGAUAAGAAUAGCUUGUUUUCUGCCUAGCCUUCCGGAAAUUCCAAGCACCGCCGACAAAUCUGCAAGCAUUCUAAUGCCUCCUGGUCCUAGUGAGUGGUGGCCGGAGAAAAAUUAUAUACAUACAUAUUGACUGUGGACUCUCUAAUUAAGAUUUAAAGUGUGUCGAGAUUUCAUUGAAAUGUGUGGCAUCGGUUUUGGGUUUUGGUAUAGUGUUGGUGAGUGCGUAUUCAUGUGAGGGUCCAAGAGGUGAGUGAAGAUGGAGAAGCAACAAGGGGAAGUGAUGCUUUUAAACACAGAAGAUAAAGAACUGGCCACGUCACGGUGGUAAACAAGAGUCAUUGAUGAUGUAAGCUAAUUUUGGCGAAGGGCCAUUAAAUGAAUUUUAGGCUCAAAAGGAGAGAGGCCACAUAUACACAUACAUAAAAUACUUAAAGUGGCUCAGCUAUCCCAUGCGUUUCAAGUAGUUUGGGUGAGUGCUUUGCUGGUUGCCACAUGUCCUCGGUUUAAAGAUCCUAAAUUCUGAUGUUUUUUCUUUUUCUUUUUUACUGCCUCCUAAAAAUAAUUACUACACACCACUUAUCUUGCACGCGGGCACGUUUUCGUGAAACGUCUCACUAUUUUUCAUAUUUUUUGUCUUUUUCUUUUGUUCUCAACGUCUUGAGAGAGAGAAGAGAGAGAGAAGUAAAGGUCAGAUCGACAAGCCCUGCUCCCAAAAUUCAUAGCACUGUCAUCAUUUUUUUUGCGUGAAAACUUCUGUCCUAUUUAUUUUCAAUUAUGGAAGUAGAACAAACAUCAGAAAUAAUAAUAAUACAUCCAGUUCAUAGAUCAACUAACAUUAACUUGAUGUUGCCUCCUACUCCUAGUGUGGAGUUGCCAAGAAAAAGAAAUAAAGCAUGUUUAUGCUUCUAGCAACCGUGACUGAUUUUUCUAUUGAAGCUUUAUAGGUGAUCCAGAUUUCAGCGCAUCGCGGUAGAAGCUUCUCGCAGCAUUGUUAUUUUCAAUUAAUUGUGGUAGAAGCUUCUGACUGUGAUUUUAUGCAUAUGUUGAUCGAUCCUGCAAUGCCGCUAGUGAUUUUACUCACCUUGUUAUAUAAAGUGACUAGCAACAAUAUAUAGUCCGACUAGGAUUAUGUCUCACUCUUUAUGUUGCCAGUAAUUUCAAGUAGAGUUUUUCUAGGGAAUUUCCGGUAGAGAGUUAGAACUUGGUCAAUCCAAUAUUAUGCAAGAGUAUGUGCAAACAUCACAACGAGUCCAUGGAGUGAGAAAAUAAGCAAGACCCAAAGAUUGCGAGGAAUAUGUAAAUUUCAUUUAUACAUAGAUUAUGCAUAAUUACUAGCAUUGCCCGCGGUCAUGAAUAUUGCCACGGUCACCCAUCAUGCGGUACACAGACCCAGCAACAUUGUAAUUAAUUCUAGCGAAAAGGACAAAACUCACUUGCAUAUGUUGAUUGUUCCUGCAAUGCCGCAAGUGAUUUAAUUCACCAUGUUAUAAAGUGACUACCAUAAAUAUAUAGACAAGCACGGAGUACGUUGUUGUCUAUGGUGCCAUUUAGUUUUAGUAGCGGUACACCUUGUUCAAAAUAAAAACAAGUAUGUGCAACCACCACCAUAUCUCCAUUCAGUAGUAGUUAGACAGUGUUAGUUUGGGUAUAUUAGUAAAAUCAUACUAAGAUACAUCCAAGUAUAAACAAGAAAAUAGUUACAUAUUGAUACUGCCAUCAUUCUGUAUGUAAAAAAAAAUCCUAAUGUCCAGUUGCAACAAGUUACUUAUCAUGUGGCAAGAGUCGUCUUCAUCCGGCCCGUCAAGUGUCUUUUGUCUGUCGAGUUUUCCACCUAGGUAUCGUAAACAUGUUUACCGAGUUCCCGAUGGCUAGUUCUCAGUAAACAGUCAUUUGCCUGAAAAGUUCGGGCGGAGUACUCUUAGCCAAGAACCAAAUGUUUAACUGGGAAGAUGGAAAGAGCUUGUGUCCUACCUAGACUUCCCAGAACUCCAAGCACCGCCGGCAAAUCUUUCAAACAGUCUGAUGCCUCCUAGUCCUAGACUCCUAGUGUGUUGUGGCCAGAGAAAUUACAUACAUAUAUGCUUCCAGCAACAUAUUGACCGUGGUCUUUCUAAUUAAGAUUUAGAGUGUAUCGAGAUUCCUAUGAAAUGUGCGGUAUGUGUUUCAUGUUUUGGGAUAGUGUUGGUGUUCAUAUGUGAGGGUCCAAGAGGUGAGUGAAGAUGGAGAAACCAGGAGCAGAAGUGAUGCUUUUAAAGACAAACGAUCGAUCAAGAACUUGCCACGUCACUGAUCAGGCGGUAGCUAGAGUCUCAGACCUCAGUGAUGUAAGUUAAGGGUAGCAGAAGAGGCUAAAGUCAAUUGCAUACAUUGAUCCAUCGUGGCGAUGUCCAACCUGUUAUGCUCCUAGUAACUUCAAUCACCAUGCUAUGAAGUGAGUGCUAGACCGGCUCGGAGUACGUCUUUGUUUCAAUUUCUUCAGUACUAACGUGUACAUUAAAUGAGUUUUAUGCUCGAAAGGACAAACAUCACACACACACAGGACGACGAGUCAAAAACAAUAAUGAAUCCAAACGUGUAAGUAAAGAAUGGAGAAGCAACGAGGGAAUCGAUGGGUUUUUCAAGAUGACGACAUAAAAGUACUAGCAAAUGCGUGUUAUUCAAUAUUAUCCAUGUCACCCAUCAACUGGUAGACAGACCCCAGCAACGUUGUAAUUUUCAACUAAUUGUAGAUAAACCAGAAAGGAUAAAAGUCACAUGCAUCUAUCGAUAGAUCCUGAUUUUACUCACCCUGUUGUAAAUUUACUUUUUUACAUGGGUAAGAUUUCGAAUUUGGCUAGGGCUUUUGCCUGCUAGCCGCGCGGGAGAGAGUAGGGAGGAGGCGCGCGCCAAGUUGAUCGUGGGAGAUUGUGCGGAGCAAAGGGGUGGCUGUGAUCGGGGGAGUCUUUCCCUGAGGAUUUUCUGAGAUUUGUUACGCUAAAUAAGAGAGGAUCCAGAAUUCCUUUUUUUUCUUCCCUACUCUCACGUGAUUAUGGUAGGGGCAUUUACGUUCAAAACCAACGAAAGUUUCUCUUCCAGAUCAUGCGUUAAUAUUGAUGCAAAAAACUAUACACCAACAUCUAGGAACGCAGGGACAAUAAUGUUUUUAAUUUUCUCAAUUUCUUUUUACGCCCACACGGCAGCCUGCCAAGGCACAAGCCUUGCAACGAUAGGGCUCAACCACAAGGAUUAAACAAAGAGAAAAGUAAAUAAAACUACCUUUUUUUCUUUUGUUUACCGCGCGCGACAUGCAUGUUACUUCGCGUGAGUCAAAAACAAUAACUUCCGCAUGCAUGCCAUCAGGAUCGGGGUGGAAAUUAUAUGUAAUAUGGUCGCCUUGACAACAUGUGAUAAUGAAAUACACCCUAUAACUUGAAGAGAGAGGAAAUGUUAGUUUGAUUAACAACGCACCACAUCAACAACGCACCACCACAAGACCAUAAACUUAACUUAUCUACAACUCGACACCUUGGAUCCCAACCCCUUACAAGUACAACAAAAUCACCAGCCCACUAGCAUAACACCAACGACGCACGCAGUCGAUGAUGAUUCUCUCUUAUCGCCUCAUGGGGACUGAGGUACUCCUCGAUGCACUGCAGCAUGAGGUGGAUGCAUUGCUUGGGCUUGGGCGUCUUGAGUAAGUGUAAGACGACACAAGGUACGAUGUCGACAUUGUAGUUCAUGGUCGACAUGUAGCCAACCGCGCCCGAGCGAUAGCUAACCUCGUUGAAUCCGACAUGGCUAUAAUCGAUGACCAACAUUUUUUUAGGAAAGGAGGACCCUUUAUUAAUGAAAGAAAUAGAAUAGCCUGCGGCUCCAAACAAUCUCAUAAGGAGCUGCAAAAUAAUCAAAAAGAAAAAAAAAUGCCACAACUGACAAAAAUAAGACUAGUUGUCUAACAAUCUAUCCUAUUAUUAAACAGCCAUCCAAACCGAUUAUAGAUAUCCCGAGCUAUUAUCUUCCACCAACCUCAUAAUCAGUGAUCAGCUCCAUGCUAUGAGCUCCAUGCUUGCCCUUGGGGCCUAUGGACCACCUAUUUUCCCUCUACCGCAUGCUAUGAUCUAUGUAAUGCUGUUUAACGUUCGGUAAAACACCACGAGGCUUUCCUCUAAAUAAACAGAAAACAGCGCAGCUAAGUGCAGGGACACUUCUAGUUAUUGACCUGUUAUAGACUUAUAUGCGUUAGAAAUUAUGGAUGAACAUGAUGAACGUAUUCUCAUGCCUUCAGGUGGGAAGGGGGGUUUCAUUAUUCUUGUGACUUUCAUCCAAUAGCAUGUCUUUCCUUUUGUUUCACUAAAUGACACACUUUUGAUUGGCAGCUAGACAAAAUGGCACAAUUUUUUUUCAUGCUUUAUUUUUAGGUCUAGAUCCACUUGUCAGCUAUGUUCGAUCGAACCUUAGUGACCAACUGGCGAGUGGUUGCGACAUUAGAGAAAGGACAACAUAACCACCUCAGCUUGAUUCGUCCUAGACCCAUACUACCAAAUCGAGACAAGCAUCGGACGAUCUGCAGACGAGGGGCACACGGCUCCCAUGCCACCAAAUCCCAAUGCUCAAGUCAAUAGCUGCCAUGACAGAUGACUAAAAGAUCUUCCCUAGCCUUCCAAAAAUUCAGACCACUGCCAUCAUAUCUUCUUAACUUGCUGAUGCCUCCUACUCCUAGCGUGCGGCCAAGAUAAAGAAAAAGCAUGUAUACGUUUCCAGCAACUUUGACUGCGAUAUUUCUAGUGAACCUUUAUACUGGUGUAUUGCGGUGUAUGUUUCGGGUUGGGUUUGGGAUAAUGUGUGUGUGGGGUUCGGGGAGGUUAGUGAAGAAUGGAGAAGCAGCGAGGGAGUCGGUUGGUUUUUUAAGAUGAUGAUGUAGAAGUACUUGCAUAUGUGUGCGGUCUUGAAUAUUAGCCACGUCACCCAUCAGUCGGUAGACAGACCCUAGGGACGUUGUAAUUUUCAAUUAAUUGUAGCAGAAACCAGAACGGACAAAAGUCACAUGUACAUGCAUAUGUUGGUCGAUCCUGCAAUGCCGCUAGUGAUUUUACUCACCGUGUUAUAUAAAGUGACUAGCAUCCAAAUGUAGACCGGCUAGGAGUAUGUCUCACUGUUUAUGUUGCCAGUUAUUUCAAGUAGAGUUUUUGUAGGGAACUUUGUCAAACCAGGCAAAAUUAUGCAAGAGUAUGUGCAACCAUUAUUAGAGUAUGUGCAAUCAUGUUUAUUUCAUUGCAUUAGUUCGUUCAUGCAUGUAGUUGAACUGAAGGCUUGAGGCUGCGGCAGUGAACGUGCUCGUAGAAGUGUGAGACAAGUACACAUGCAAGCUAAUAGGGCCUGAUUAAUUAGUUGAGUUAGCAUGAGCUGAUCAGUACCAUGCACGUACAUGCAGUUUGCAUGGAUGUGUUGGUUAGCUACAUGCACGUACAGCUCCGUGGAGUCAAGGCGGCCGAGUCCUACGGCAGAUCAGUGUGGAGCUAGAACUGGACGCAAUUGGUUGGGCGUGCGUCAAGUGUGCCGUUGCGGGUAAGCUCAUGUCUGUUGUAACUUGGAUUCGACUCAAUCUGCAGGAAUAAUCGGAUCAAGCAGCUGGCUUGGCUGGCGCGUCUGCGAGCGACCCUACACGUACGGACAAUAUUUAGGGAAAUUUACGAGAAUGAUUAGGUGAGCUAAGAUGAUUGAAAGAAAUAAGGGCGAGGGGGCCACACCCCUGAGAAUCGGGGGCGGUGGAAAUUAGUUGAUGAAGGAGUCCGUAAACCCUCCGUAUAACUCCGUAUGUUUAGAAUUUUCGCGCGUCUGCAUGCAACGUAGUGGGUUAGUGGGUGCGUGUGUUGUGUAGGUUUGGUACUUGAACACAUGUACUCAGCUGAUUUGCGUUGUGGGGAAUGCAAGAGAAAAAUGUAGCCAUUGUGAUAGCCAAGGAAGAGAGCAUCUCGACAAAGCCUUUGUGUUCUUCCUUAGUACAUGUGUUUGUAGAGUUUCUCCGUGGUGUGUGUUCUUGAGAGAAGAAGAGAGUGUUGCUAGGAGGUAGAAGAAGGCGGCGCAGCGACGAGACGGCGCCGACAACCACCACCACGAGUCCAUUGAGCGACGAAAUAAGCUAGUCCCAAAGAUUAUGAGGAAUAUGUAAAAAUUCAUUUAUACAUAGAAGACUCGUUCAGGCAACCACCGAGAAGAGAUGGCAUGAUCUGGAGACAUCGUACAUGCAUGCCACCUAUUAAUCUACUUGAAGAAGUAUGGGAGGUCGAGCACGUAGAGGAGGAAGUAUGCCCAGACGGCGCCGGAUACACCGCCGAAGAAGAAGCCUCCGGUGAACUGCGACCACCCUUCGGCGGUCUGGAGCUUGUCGGCCUCCUUCUUGCGUCCGGUGAGGGUGAGCACCGGCGCGGUGGACGGCUCGCCCUCGUUGAAGGAGGCGACGCCGUACAUGGUGAGGCAGACGCUGAGGAUGGAGACGAGUCCGAUGGCGCCGAGUGUGCCGGCCUGUCCGUGCACGGGCGUGUUGCGGAGCGGGCCAGUGAGCGCGAAGGGGCCGACGAGGAGGUAGCCAUGGGCGAGGCCGACCUCGAUGCCGCGGAGGAGCGGGCUGACGGCGGUGCGGUAGGCGGGGAGGUUGGAGAGGUACCACGCGACGAGGGGGCUGGAGGUGACCGGCGUCUCCAGGCUGCCGAUGAACGGGUCGCCGUUGAUGGGCUGGACCACUUGGUACGUCGGCUGAGAGGAAACACCAAAACAUGUAUGAGAUGCAAAGCAAGGCCUACAACAAGCUAAACCCUACUUGUAUCCCACAAAUUGUGGUUUGUUUUGGAUGAAUAAAUCUCUGUUCGUCCUAAAAAACAACACGCUAAACCUUAAUUUUAGCUCUCUCUUGCAUGCAAUUGCAAGUUUGCGACUGACCUUGUCAGACUUGACAGCCUUGACGACGAAGCGGGGCCUCCGGGUGAGCGAAGCGCCGGACAUGCCCCGCGGCUUGGAGCACGCCAAGCCGCUCUUCAUCACCUGGCUCGCCAUGGGAGGAGCAUAUGCAGUGGCCAUCUCGAUGUCCUCCUUCGACUCCCACACGCUCAACUCUGCUCUGCCUGCAGCGUCAAAUGGAUGGAUGUGUUACAAGAAGAAGAUCUGUCCAGAUGGCAAGAUGUUUUAGUGGCUCCAAGGGAGAGGGG
rnacentral:lncRNA from 1 species